GAUGAACGCUGGCGGCGUGCCUAACACAUGCAAGUCGAGCGAGAAGUAAAGAAAUGAAGCUUCGGUAGAUUUUCAUUAUGGAAAGCGGCGGACGGGUGAGUAACGCGUAGGCAACCUGCCCUGUACAGGGGGAUAGCCACCCGAAAAGGUGAUUAAUACCCCAUGAUGCAAGAGAUACACAUGUAUCACUUGUCAAAGAUUUAUCGGUAUGGGAUGGGCCUGCGUCUGAUUAGCUAGUUGGUAGGGUAACGGCUUACCAAGGCAACGAUCAGUAGCCGACCUGAGAGGGUGAUCGGCCACAUUGGAACUGAGACACGGUCCAAACUCCUACGGGAGGCAGCAGUGGGGAAUAUUGCACAAUGGGGGAAACCCUGAUGCAGCAACGCCGCGUGAAGGAAGAAGGCCUUCGGGUUGUAAACUUCUGUCCUAGGGGAAGAAACAAAUGACAUACCC
rnacentral:rRNA from 1 species